AUUGCUUCUUGGGCUUUUGGCCAAGAUCAGGUGUAGCAUCUGUUCUUAUCAGUUUGCUAUGUGAUGUAUUAUCUCUCCAGGAACAAUAUAUUAUGUAUGUUUUUGGAAAAAGUAAAUAGAAUUGGAACAUGUUAUGCAUUCAGUACAUGUAUAGACCUGGUAUUGCAAGAAUAGUAAACUGUUA